GCCUUCGGGAACCGUGAGACAGGUGCUGCAUGGCUGUCGUCAGCUCGUGUUGUGAAAUGUUGGGUUAAGUCCCGCAACGAGCGCAACCCUUAUCCUUUGUUGCCAGCGGUCCGGCCGGGAACUCAAAGGAGACUGCCAGUGAUAAACUGGAGGAAGGUGGGGAUGACGUCAAGUCAUCAUGGCCCUUACGACCAGGGCUACACACGUGCUACAAUGGCGCAUACAAAGAGAAGCGACCUCGCGAGAGCAAGCGGACCUCAUAAAGUGCGUCGUAGUCCGGAUUGGAGUCUGCAACUCGACUCCAUGAAGUCGGAAUCGCUAGUAAUCGUGGAUCAGAAUGCCACGGUGAAUACGUUCCCGGGCCUU
rnacentral:rRNA from 1 species